AGUGAACGCUGGCGGUAGGCCUAACACAUGCAAGUCGAACGGCAGCACAGUAAGAGCUUGCUCUUACGGGUGGCGAGUGGCGGACGGGUGAGGAAUACAUCGGAAUCUACUUUUUCGUGGGGGAUAACGUAGGGAAACUUACGCUAAUACCGCAUACGACCUACGGGUGAAAGCAGGGGAUCUUCGGACCUUGCACGAUUGAAUGAGCCGAUGUCGGAUUAGCUAGUUGGCGGGGUAAAGGCCCACCAAGGCGACGAUCCGUAGCUGGUCUGAGAGGAUGAUCAGCCACACUGGAACUGAGACACGGUCCAGACUCCUACGGGAGGCAGCAGUGGGGAAUAUUGGACAAUGUGCGCAAGCCUGAUCCAGCCAUACCGCGUGGGUGAAGAAGGCCUUCGGGUUGUAAAGCCCUUUUGUUGGGAAAGAAAAGCAGCAGGUUAAUACCCCGCUGUUCUGACGGUACCCAAAGAAUAAGCACCGGCUAACUUCGUG
rnacentral:rRNA from 1 species